GACGAACGCUGGCGGCGUGCCUAAUACAUGCAAGUCGAACGCAUUUUCUUUCACCGUAGCUUGCUACACCGAAAGAAAAUGAGUGGCGAACGGGUGAGUAACACGUGGGUAACCUGCCCAUCAGCGGGGGAUAACACUUGGAAACAGGUGCUAAUACCGCAUAAUUCCAUUUACCGCAUGGUAGAUGGGUGAAAGGCGCUUUUGCGUCACUGAUGGAUGGACCCGCGGUGCAUUAGCUAGUUGGUGGGGUAACGGCCUACCAAGGCUGCGAUGCAUAGCCGACCUGAGAGGGUGAUCGGCCACACUGGGACUGAGACACGGCCCAGACUCCUACGGGAGGCAGCAGUAGGGAAUCUUCGGCAAUGGACGCAAGUCUGACCGAGCAACGCCGCGUGAGUGAAGAAGGUUUUCGGAUCGUAAAACUCUGUUGUUAGAGAAGAACAAGGAUGAGAGUGGAAAGUUCAUCCCUUGACGGUAUCUAACCAGAAAGCCACGGCUAACUACG
rnacentral:rRNA from 1 species